UAUUAAAAAUUUUAUCUAUUUAUACGGUUAAAAAUUGAAGUGGCUAAUGGAAUAAUCAAAUAGUGACAUGUGGCGUGCUAUUUGUACCUCAUAUUGAUGUUUAGGGAUUAAAUUUUAACAUUAAAAAUGGAUAACAAUUUUAACA
rfam:Gossypium raimondii Chr09_contig_640, whole genome shotgun sequence.